GAUGAACGCUGGCGGCGUGCCUAAUACAUGCAAGUCGAGCGAACGGACGAGAAGCUUGCUUCUCUGAUGUUAGCGGCGGACGGGUGAGUAACACGUGGAUAACCUACCUAUAAGACUGGGAUAACUUCGGGAAACCGGCGCUAAUACCGGAUAAUAUUUUGAACCGCAUGGUUCAAAAGUGAAAGACGGUCUUGCUGUCACUUAUAGAUGGAUCCGCGCUGCAUUAGCUAGUUGGUAAGGUAACGGCUUACCAAGGCAACGAUGCAUAGCCGACCUGAGAGGGUGAUCGGCCACACUGGAACUGAGACACGGUCCAGAGUCCUACGGGAGGCAGCAGUAGGGAAUCUUCCGCAAUGGGCGAAAGCCUGACGGAGCAACGCAGCGUGAGUGAUGAAGGUCUUCGGAUCGUAAAACUCUGUUAUUAGGGAAGAACAUAUGUGUAAGUAACUGUGCACAUCUUGACGGUACCUAAUCAGAAAGCCACGGCUAACUACGUG
rnacentral:rRNA from 1 species